CAAGAAUAUCAAUAAUGGCUAUCAUUUCUACUCAUCUCUCUUCCUUCCUAUCAUGUAUGAGAUAAUCCAAUCAUAAUAAUCCACAGGCACAGUACCUGCAAAGCUUUUAUUGCAGAUGACAACAGCAUUUCAAGAAGGUGGAUUACAAAACCGUAGUGGAUCUUUCCUUCACAAGGAUCAUCUAGGCAAAAGCAAUGUUCCAGCGUUAGCAACUGCAGGGGAUCAAGAUCUCAUCUGUCCUCCAGAAGCUAGACGGCAAAGGUCAUUCCAAAGCAUUUGCAUGCUUACAGACAGGGGCGGAGGAGCAUAGAAGACUGAGGUGGGCUGUAGCCUAGGUAGAAAAAUAAAUCUUAAAAAAAUGUAAUAUUCCAUUUUAUAAGUAUAGCUUUUUUAUUUAUCUUUUUCCAAAUCCAUAUAUGUAAAUAUUCCCUCUGCAUUAUUUCUUAUUAGCCUCGUACCUUUUCAUUGGGCUUCUUAGCCUUUGGCAUCCCAUUAAUUUCUCUUCUUACUCGUUGAAUAAAUCUCUAGGAUUUUAUUUCCGGAGAAAAGAACCCA